rnacentral:lncRNA from 1 species
AUGAUAUAUGACUUGAACAUGCAUCAAAAAAAGAAAGAAGAAGAGUCGAAGAAGAAGAAGGCAUUGCAUUCAAAUCAACCACCAAAUUCAAAGAUAGCGAUGAGUCGGAGGAUAAAGAUGAAGAAGAGAGUGAAGAUGAACAUGAGGACUUAGGACUACUCAAGAAGAAAUGGUUGAAGAAGAAGGAAGAUAAUGAAGAAAAAGAAAGGAAUAUCAUUUGCUACAAGUGUAACAAGCUGGGGCACUAUAAGUUGAAUUGUCCUCUACUCAAAAAGUACCCCA